GCCUCGGUAGUCUAACGGGUGAGUACAGCAGACCGGAUAUCUGUAAGUGCGAGUUCAAGUCUCGUCUGAGGUU
rnacentral:tRNA from 1 species